GUAGGUGUCUGAUGGAGGGUAUGCGUUUGGUUGCAUGUCUUUUACAUUUUUUAAAAUCACUGUUGCCCUAAUGAAAUUCCUUAAACAUGUGUAUACACUGUAAGCAAUGUACAUAUACAGAGUGAGAGAGAAAGUGAAAAAUGAAAGAGAUACAAAUAGAGAGAUAGAUCUUUUCAGUUGCUGUCACAGAUUUUGAAAUUUGAAAAUUUGCGAACUUGGUAUAUUGAUAUAAAAGCACCCAGUACACUCAAGGAGUGGUUGGCUUUAGGAAGGGC